ACAGCGUCGCCCCCACCCCAACGUGCACACGCACCACGGGGGAGGGGCGGAGAUUGGCCCCCCGUGCCGUAAKCAGGCGCGGUCGGCCCAAAAGUCGACCCUCGGCGACGAGCGUCACGAUCAUUGGUGGUUGAGAAGCCCCCUCGUCGUAGACCGGCGUCGUGGCGCCUCGUCGCCUUACCGGGUCGGAAGAACCCUCGUUUGUCCUGCACCACGGGACAUUCACUCU
rnacentral:misc_RNA from 1 species